CUCCGCCGCGCCCUUCCCACAGCACUGGCUUAACCUGGGGGACUCUGAGUCCUUUAUCAAGGUUGUCCUGGGAGAUGGGAGUUUAAACACCCAGCCCGCAAGGCCACGGCCAUUCCCAGGCUUCUCUCUCCACACACCUGGGCUUUGUCAGUGGGUGCAGUGAUCGAGGGCAUAACCGGGCUCCAUCCCAAUGCUGCCUCAUCCCUGCAGUCACCCCGCACAGGUGACGCAGGCUUCAGAGGGCCCCGGACCUCGCCUGAGGGUGAAGAAAAUCACGGCAUCACUGACAAGGCCGCCAUGAGGAUCGCGUGAGCAGAAACACGAUGAUCAUGGCUCACUGAUGGGGCAGCUCUGAGGAUCGCGUGAGCAGAAACACACAGAUAAUCACAGAAUCACUGACGGGGCAGCUCUGAGGAUCACGUGAGCAGAAACACACAGAUAAUCACAGAAUCACUGACGGGGCUGCUGUGAGGAUCCCGUGAGCAGAAACACACAGAUAAUCACAGAAUCACUGACGGGGCCGCUGUGAGGAUCCCGUGAGCAGAAACAUGGAUGAUCACGGCUCACUGACGGGGCAGCUCUGAGGAUCACGUGAGCAGAAACACACAGAUAAUCACAGAAUCACUGACGAGGCCUCUGUGAGGAUCCCGUGAGCAGAAACAUGGAUGAUCGCGGCCUGACUGGCGGGGCUGCUGUGAGGAUCAUAUGACCAGAAACACGUGGAAGAUCAUGGCUCACUGACGGGGCUGCUGUGACUAUUGCGUGAGCAGAAACACGAUGAUCAUGGCUCACUGAAUGGGCAGCUCUGAGGAUCGCGUGAGCAGAAACAUGGAUGAUCAUGGCUCACUGACAGGGAGGUCUGAGGAUUGCGUGAGCAGAAACACAGAUAAUCACAGAAUCACUGAGGGGGCCACUGUGAGGAUCGCAUGAGCAGAAACACACAGAUGAUCACGGCUCACUAAUGGGGCCGCUGCGAGAAUCGCGUGAGCAGAAACACGGAUGAUCAUGGCUCACUGACGGGGCAACUCUGAGGAUCACGUGAGCAGAAACACACAAAUAAUCACAGAAUCACUGACGGGGCCACUGUGAGGAUCGCGUGAGCAGAAACACACAGAUAACCAAGGCCUGACCAACGGGGCUGCUGGGAGGAUCCCGUGAGCAGAAACACGGACGAUCACAGCAUCACUAUCGAGACGGCUCUGAGGAUCCUGUGAGCAGGACACUGGUGUGUUAUGCUUUAAAGCUUUUCCUUGAUCUUGGUGAUUUCACGUCUUAGGAAACCUCCCUCACUAAUCAGCCGGCCCCGUGGGCAAUGCAGCUUCUCCUGAAAAGCAAACACUUCAACUUUCAGGCUUCGUGGCCACUGACCCGCUUCUGGCCAGGGGCAGCCUCCUCCCUACCCCUCGUGUAACGGACUACGGGACUGGACAUCUGUCACGAUGCCAUUUGAGACGGAAAGGGCACUGGGCCAGUGUCUGGAACUGGCCCGCACGCCUCAGGUCAUCUGUCACGAUGCCGUUUGAGAGGGAAAGGGCACUGGGCCGGCGUCUGGAACUGGCCCCCACGCCUCAGGUCAUCUGUCACGAUGCCGUUUGAGACGGAAAGGGCACUGGGCCAGUGUCUGGAACUGGCCCCCACGCCUCAGGUCAUCUGUCACGAUGCCAUUUGAGACGGAAAGGGCACUGGGCCAGUGUCUGGAACUGGCCCCCACGCCUCAGGUCAUCUGUCACGAUGCCGUUUGAGACGGAAAGGGCACUGGGCCGGCGUCUGGAACUGGCCCGCACGCCUCAGGUCAUCUGUCACGAUGCCAUUUGAGACGGAAAGGGCACUGGGCCAGUGUCUGGAACUGGCCCCCACGCCUCAGGUCAUCUGUCACGAUGCCGUUUGAGACGGAAAGGGCACUGGGCCGGCGUCUGGAACUGGCCCCCACGCCUCAGGUCAUCUGUCACGAUUCCGUUUGAGAGGGAAAGGGCACUGGGCCGGCGUCUGGAACUGGCCCCCACGCCUCAGGUCAUCUGUCACGAUGCCGUUUGAGACGGAAAGGGCACUGGGCCAGUGUCUGGAACUGGCCCCCACGCCUCAGGUCAUCUGUCACGAUGCCAUUUGAGACGGAAAGGGCACUGGGCCAGUGUCUGGAACUGGCCCCCACGCCUCAGGUCAUCUGUCACGAUGCCGUUUGAGACGGAAAGGGCACUGGGCCGGCGUCUGGAACUGGCCCGCACGCCUCAGGUCAUCUGUCACGAUGCCAUUUGAGACGGAAAGGGCACUGGGCCAGUGUCUGGAACUGGCCCCCACGCCUCAGGUCAUCUGUCACGAUGCCGUUUGAGACGGAAAGGGCACUGGGCCGGCGUCUGGAACUGGCCCCCACGCCUCAGGUCAUCUGUCACGAUGCCGUUUGAGACGGAAAGGGCACUGGGCCGGUGUGUGGAAAUGGCCCGAAUGCCUCAGGUCAUCUGUCACGAUGCCGUUUGAGACGGAAAGGGCACUGGGCCGGUGUCUGGAACUGGCCCGCAUGCCUCAGGUCAUCUGUCACGAUGCCGUUUGAGACGGAAAGGGCAUUGGGCGGGCAUCCGGAACUGGCCCCCACGCCUCAGGUGGGUCUGGCAGGCUGCAUUUGUACCGUGGGCACUUGGUUUUUCCUUCUUCUUGAAUAAUUAGGAGUCCCUGAAAAGCAAUAUUUUCCUGGAAUCCUCAGCUAAACCAGAAGCUCCUACACACCAAGCCAGAAGAACAUGCUUCCAAAUUUCCUGUGGGUGGAUUGACCUGUAGGAACAGGAUUUAUUAUUUUGUUUUCCAGACAGAAGAAAUUCUGUUUCUUAACAUUUGCAAACUCUUAGUCCAAGAAUGUGGGGGAAUUAUAAUGUAUUUCAGAGUUACUCGUGGGUACAAUUUUGAAGUAGGUCAUGUGACUUUUAGCUUCUUCCUUUUUGAGCUGUCCAGGUCCCUCCUGUGAACACUCAGCUGCCCCCGACCCGCACUACGAUCGUGUCCCUGGGGGAACGCCCGCCUGCACUUGGCAUCUUUCCUGUCCGUCUGUGUAGUCCCGUCAAAACAGCCAUGACUGAGCAGAACAUCUCAGCUCUGCUCAUGCCUCCACCUGCGUGUCUGCCGCCUGCAUCAACGCACUGAGGGCUCUGCCAGACCCAGGACUUGCCACGCUUCAGAAUCAUUAGUGAGACAGAGAGCUAGCUUGCAUUCUUUUCAUCAUGUGGAAGAUACAAUGAGAAGUCAGCAUCUCAAGUCUGCAACCCGAAAGAGAACCCUCAUCAGAACCCAACAAUGCUGGAACCCAGAUCUUGAACUUUCAGCCUCCAGAACUGUGAGAAAUAAAUUUCUGUCGUUGAUAAGUGAACCAGUCCAUGGUAUGUUGUUAUAGCAGCCCAAACUGACUAAGAUACUAUUUUUAUCAUGUACGUCUAUUUUAAACCUCUCCAGACAUUGUUGUUGUUGUUGUUAUAUAAAGUUCACCAUUAUUUGGAUCUACCACAAACACUCGUUUCAUUAUUACUUAUUUCUUCCUGGAUUUCUAAGAUUCUAUCAUCCAGUAUCACUGUCCUCUGGCUUAAAGUAUUUAAGCAGAAUUUAUGUGUUUUCUUUAGCAAAGUAGCCCUUCUUGUGACAAAUUCUCUCAGUUUUAUUUGUCAAAGAUGUUUUAAUGUUUGAAUUUCCUCAUCAAUGAAGAUUUUCACUAGAUAUAAAAUUUCAUGUUGUUCUUAUUUCUUAUAGCAAUUAGCGAUAUCAUUCUAUUUUCUUCUGUUUUUUUUCCUAAAAAAUAUCCUGGUUUUUUUUUCCUGUAAAAUAUCUUCUAAUUAUGGCUUUAUUUAAUAAUUGUCUUUUCCUUUUCCCCACUUGAGAGAUUUUCUCUUUAUUAUUACUUUCAGCAAGUUAUACUACGGUGUGUUUUAAUGUGACUUUGAAUUUAUUUUGUUUGGGGUCCAUAGUGACUCUUGAAUCUGAUAUUUAAUGUCUUUUACAUUUUCAAUUCACUAUUUUUUCAAACAGUUUUUCUGCCUUAUUCUCUCUUCCCUGUCCUGCAAUUACAGUUGUAGCCAUGCCAUACUUUUUCACUAUAUCCACUAUGCCUCUUAAUCUCUUUUUACUCUAUUCCUUUUGUUCAUUCUUUGUUCUGUACAUUUUUUUCUGAACUAUCUUCCAAUUCCACUAAUUGUCUUUUUAGCUCUGUCUAAAUUGCUUUUAACCUUAUCCACUGAGUUCCUAGUUCCAUUUAUUUUACCUUUCAGUUCUAGAAUUUUUUUUCCUUGUAUCUUAUCUCAAUUUAUCUGUCAAAAUUUUCAGUCUUGUCUUUUAUUGCCUUUUGUAUUAAAAAUGUUUAUUAUAAAGUAUUUUCUGAUAUUUUCACUGAUCUUGUAGAUCUGUUUCUAUUGUCUAUUAUUUAAUUUUUCAAAUCACAUAUCUCCUUGAGAGAAGGGAUUUUUAAAUUUAGGAAUGUAUAUUUUAUAUGAAAAGCAUACAGGAGUGUUUAAGGCCUAGGAUGAUGGUAUAUUUCUUCAGAGAUAAUUUAUGUUUAUUUUUAACAGACAGCUAGGUUAAUAGGAUUAGCAAUCCCAGAUCACCUUAAUUCAACCCUGAAGGUUGAGAGGAUUUUAAUCUGGCUUUAGCCUUUGCAAGGGCUGGUCUAUUUCUGCAUCAUCCUUUAUGUUAAGCAAGUCACUUAUUUUCUUGGCAGGCCCUAGGUUCCAGUUUUCAUCCCAGAGGGAUGAACAAAGGCUCAUCACCAGAACAAAGGUUCUGCUAAGCUUCCCCAUCUCUCAUUUGUCUUUGCCUUUCCAGGAGUCAGAAAGCAUCUCUGUAGAUAAGCAUCCCUGGGUUUCUUUAUUUUCCUGGAUCUUGGCUCCAUAUCCUUGGUGUCUCUCUGAGACCUUCAAGUAAACCUUUUUUUCUUUGUCCAGAUUUUCUAAUUGUUCUCAUGAGACAAAUUACCUAAUUACCACUAACAAAAGUGGAAUUCCCCCAAAAUAACUUUUAGAUUUAACUCAGGAAGCUUCUAAAUGC
rnacentral:lncRNA from 10 species